AAGGGCAAGAUAAUGAAGGGCCUUAGGGGAAGCCAUAUGAGGAGCAGCUGAGAUCCCUUUGUCUGUUCACUCAGGAGAAGAGGAGACUGAGUGGAGGCCUCAUUGCAGUUACAACUUCCUCAUAAGGGGAAGAGGAGGGCAGGCACUGAUCUCUUCUGUGUGGUCAACAGUGAGAGGACCCGAGGGAAUGGCCUGAAGUUAUAUCAGUUUAGACUGGAUAUUAGAAUAAGGUUCUUCACCCAGAGGGAGGCUGGCCACUGUAACAGGCUCCCCAGGGAAGUGGUCACAGCACCAAGCCUGACAGAGUUCAAAAAGUGUUUGCAAAAAACUCCCGGGCACAUGGUGUGACUCUUGGGAAUGGUACUGCACAGGACCAGAAGUUGGACUCAGUGAUCCUAAUGGGUCCCUUCCAACUCAGCUUAUUCUGUAAUUCCAUGAUUCUCCACACCUCACAGUACAGCAGGGGCUCGCAACUUCUUGGCCCAGGGAGCUGGAGGCAUCAGGGGCUCCCUGGGGGGUGGCAAGGCAGGGUGUUACCAACCAGGUCCAUCCUACUGCUCCAGCUGGGGAGCAGGGAAGGCAUAAAGGCAACUAGGGACAAUCCUGGGGGUGGGAUUGAUGGAGAUGGUAUAUUAGCCCACAGGUGGGGGUCAGACUCAGGCCUAGUGGGCAAAACCAGGGUCAGGCAUAGAUCAAGAUAGCCAGGUAGCCUGGGCCUGGAGCAAGGAGCGUGGCUGGGCACAGACCAGGCUGCAGCGUGGCUGCUCUGCUGCUCCAGCAGAGCCAGGCACUGCUGCCCCAGCAAAGUCAGACUCCAUGGGCAGGGGAUGGUCAGGAAACGCUUCUGAGAAGAGUUUAAAUGUAGAUGUUUGAAACCUGUCAUCAAAGCCAAGAGAAAAGACAAGCAAGUUUUAAGAAAGGAAACCCUAAAUCCCCAACACCCAGAGAUACAGAACCUCUGAUACAGGACCUUUAGGUCCUAUAAAUAACUGUUAGAUGUUUGAACAGUCACACGAAAGAAGCAACAGAGUUGUUUCAAUGUGAUAACUUCAAACUUAUCCUCAGUGCCUUGCUGAUAUCAAUUCUGACCCAACUGCAUCCUGCUGAAUUGCAUGAGGCCCUGCAAAGUAGCUUUUAUGUUUUAAGUGUCAUUAACAUCCAUAGGACAACCUGAGUGGAUAAGAAAAUGUUUAAAUAAAGAUUCUCUUAAGGCAAUGAGUUGAGCUCUUUCUCAUUUCAGUACUCAAGGUUUUCAAAAUUGUAAAGGAAAAAUAACCUGAUGUACAAAUCCAAUAAUGCAAAAACUAGUAAUACUUAAUGAAACAAGAAAGAAGUAGAUUUAAAACAGAUAGAGACAAUUUUUGUUGUUUCCAGUCAUUCUAUUGUGGACUAAAUUAGAAUCUUGUGAUAUAUUUAUGACUGUCAAGAAAUUAUACCUCUUCAAGUGUACAAGAUGCCUGCAGUACAAAAGAAUGGUGUGCCAUCAAAGGAAUUGAUGGUCUCCAGAUAAGCAGUUGUGCAAGCUAUGUGCAGGACCUACAGACGUGCCUAAAGCCACACUCAGGAUAACUUCUGUGAAUCACUUCUCUCUUGGGUGGAAUUCAACAAAACAGAAAAUAGCAGAAAAGAAUGGUUUAAAUUCAAAAGCAGCUGUACAAGAUCUUAAGACUAAGGAAGGAACUGAGAAACAUUUUGAUGGUUGGCUGCACUUCAGUUUCAAGAGUGAUCCUCAGUUCUAGAAAGACCAUCAGAGAAGAGAAAAUGCUUUCAUAUUAUACCCAGUAAACAGAGAGGCUCUCUUACUAUAAGGAGCAGGGAAGCUGUGUGUGUGAAGUCAAGGGGCUCCACAAGAACAUAGGAGAUCUCUGGUAAAGACCCAGUUACAUCAUUCAGAUUCCACAUGAGCUGCCAAAACUCUGAUUUCAGAGACUCAAUACACUGAGCAGAUUUUUAACCACCAAAGUGACUAGCUGACCAUUUGACCAAGAUCCAGGUAUCAGCUGGAGUAUCCCUCCUACCCUUGGGUGGUUUUCUUUCAUUGACUCUAGGCUGAACUCACCUUUUAGCUGCCAGCCUUAGGAGAAACACCCAAGGCUACCUGGUGCAUCAGGUGAAUGCAUGGCAUAAAGUCUCUGUCCAGGCCAGCUCAUGAUACAUCUGAGUGGUGCAUCAGGGACUGUGUUGCCCUUUCUGCUUUGUGGUUCCAGACUUGUCAGGGCAUCAGUGACAGCAGUGAAAAAAACCUGACACUUUCUGACACUAUGAAGACCAAAGCAAAGCAGUCAGAAAAUUGGAGCUUCCCAGACCACAAGGAGAAAUUGAAAAAUUCUCAGCUUUUAGAUACUGGGCUUUUGUGAUACAAGCCAGUUAUGGUGUAAACAACAGAUGUGUACACCUGCCAAACUUGAACUAAAUCAUACCGAACGUUAUAUUUUAUUACUCAGUGAUUUUCUAAACAUUUAUUUUAGUAUUAAGUUUCCUUUAAAAUAUAGUCUGAUGCCUAGUCUUUUGCUAGUCCUCCUUUUACUGAAAUCUAGAACAAGUAUUAUAACAAUUUAUGAGGAAGGAACACAAAAAUGAGUGUGUUCUUAUGUGCUCACUUAUAUGAUUCUCUUUUUCACACAGUUACCACAUUUUUGGGGCAUUUACAAACAGCUUACUGCCAGAUGUUACGAACGCUACAGGGAAGUGGAUUAUUUUUUUGUAAUACCUUUCCCAAAUACCAGACCCAGUAUUGGAAUGGAGUAUUGAGAUUAGCCACUAGGAUUCUUUUAACAAUAUAGAGCUGCCAUUAGGCAGUACGCCUGUGUCCAGCUCACCAGCACUGUGAUUCACAGCUUCCCCCAUCUUUCCAGCCAAUUAAGGAAGAUGUAAAAGGCUAAUCAACGCUAAUUUGUGAUCUUGCUUAGUAUCAGGAAAAAAAAUAUUAUUUUCUUCCUUUUUCUCUUCUUCAACAGCAGAAUAUGAGCUUUACAGAAGAAUUAAAGACAUAUCUUGCUAACAUACUGACCCUGUGUGACACUUCCAAGAAAACACAGUCUGUGGGUUGAGCUAGAAUGAUCCUGGCAGCUAAUGUAUCCAAUUCAGCAGCAGUCACCAUCCAAGAAUAGGCAGGGCUGCUGUGUCCUGGGGUCUUGGAGUUGGCAUGCUGCUACACUCACUCCUUUCCAAACAGAUAAAAGCAUACACUGAUGCUUCUGCCAUUCUCUCUCUGUCUAUAUCCAGUACCCCCCACAUAUUUUUCUUAUUUAGUUACAUAAAAAUGCCAGGAUUUGACAUAUUCAUACACACUCGCACCACUUUACAGGGGCACUCCUAAGCCUGUAAUUGAAAGUUAUCUAAAACCUGCCAACAGGCCCUAUUUUCAACCUCCAUUUCAGCUAUGGCAUAGCCAAAGUGCAUGUUUUACUAAUCUGUGGUUUUUUACACCUUGCAAACAGGUUUGGCAAUGCCUUUUGAAUGCUUUUCUGAACAUGAUUUCAUCUCUUGUAACCUUCACCUGUACUCACUGCUUAGGUUUAUAACCAGGCUCUGGACACCUCCUUGGUUUUUUGACAAGUUACAGUAAUAGCAAAAAAUUUCAAGCCUCUGGUUUAAAAAUGAAAUGUCAGUCCACAAAGUUGCUGGCAGGGAGAGCUGGUGACAGAAAACCCCAGGGUGUGAGUGAGAGCAACCUCCUACUUUGACAACUGCACAGACUCCAGCCUAUUAAUUACAUUGACCUUAAAAUCAAAGCACUUUUUGGUAAGAGAGUUAACAGCAGCAACACUGUAAACUUACUGCUUUUGGUGUUAUUGUAACAGUUUAUACAAAUAAUGAACUUUAAAAAAAAAAAAAACCCAAGAAGAUACAUUAAUUUCCUCAUUCAUUCACUCAUUCACAGUAGCUUGCAUUCCUUCCCCUUGACCUCAUCACAGCCACCAAUUUCCCAUGAAGACAGCAGGCACAUGGCAUACUUUGUUAAAAACAGAAUAUCUAUGAGUUGAUUUGAGCCUUUACAUUACAUAUAAAUAUCAGCCUACUUCUUGAAGGGUUCUGUGUGUUUUAGCUGUACCCACCAGAACUGGUGGUCCUUCAAACACCUGCACUGGCUGCUUACUGCAGGACUUCAAUUGUGUAAAGCUGUGUGGUAGGUAAGUGACUCAGGAGAGACACAGAUCACAAUUUGUUAGAACACUUUUUAUUAAUUUUGUGAUUUAACUCCAUCCAACAACCCACAGAGCUGCUUGCUCACUCCCCUAGCAGGAGGAUCAAGGAGAGAAUUGGAAAGGUAAAAGCUGGAAAAUUCAUGAGUUCAGAUGAGAGAGUUUAAUAGGGAAUGCAAAAGUUGUGCACACAAGGAAAGCAAAGAAAAGCAAAGCAAGAAAUUCAUGCAGUUCUCCCCACAAGCAGGCAGGUGUUCAACUAUCCCUAGGAGAGCAGGCCUCCUUCUCCCAUAGCAGUGACUUGAAUCAUGACCAAUGCCACGUCUCCAAAUGCCCCUCCCUUCCUCCUUCUUCCCCCCACUUUAUACACUGAGCAUGAUGUCACAUGUCUGGAACAUCCCUGGGGUCAGUUUGCAUUGCCUGUCCUGGCUGUGUCUCCUCCCAGCCUCCUGUGCCCUCCCAGUCCCUUAGCCAGUGUGGCAGCACAAAAAGCAGGAGGCCUCGUCUCUGUGUAAGACCUGCUCAGCAAUACCAAAACAUUUCUGUAUUCUGAGCCCUCUGUUCAGCACAAAUCUGAAAUACAGCCCCAGGCCAGACACUGUAAAGAAAAUCAACUCUAUCCCAGCCCAAACCAGUGUAAUUAAUUAUUUCUUUAUUAAGAUUUUAUUAUUAACAGCAGAUAAAUAUUGCAAUGGUUCAUUCAAUUACUUUGUCACACAAACUCAUAUGAAUGCAGCUGCAGUGACAGAAAGUCAGUUCUUUACCAAGAAGGGAAGUCAUACUGAUUUGCCAAUGUAUGAUUGAACUCCUCUUCAUCUGGACAAAGAAGAGAAAAUGUGAUAAAAAGCUUGUGGGUCAAGAUAAGGACAGGGAAAUAUCGCUCACUCAUUCCUAUCAUGGGAAAAUAAGAUUAUAAACAUAUAUUUAAUAUAUUACUAAUCAAAUCAGAGUAGAAAAAUGAGAAGUAAAAACCAAUUCUUAAAACCAGUUUGCCAUCAGGUCUGCUUUCAUCCUAGGCACAACUUCACUCCUGAUGUUUUUUACCUCCUCCCCCAGCUGCACAUGUGGAAAUGGGGAUUGCAGUCAGUUCAUCAAAAUUGUCUCCGUCACUUCCUCCUCCUCACACUCCUUCCUAGGUCCAGCAAGGGGAUGCUCCCAUGGGAAAUGAUUCUCCAUGAACCUCUCCAAUGUUCACUGGCUAGAAUUCUCCACAAACUGCUCCAGUGUGCAUCCCUCCCACAGGGUGCAGCACUUCUGGAACAGGCUGCUGCAGCCUGAGGCCCCCAGAGGGUCACAAGUGCUGCCAGAAAACCUGAUCCAGUAUGGGCUUCACCCUGCAUUGGUACACAGGUCCUGCCAGAAGCCUGCUCCAGCAUGGGCUUCCCACAGCGUAACAGCUUCCUUUAGGCAUCCUCGUGCUCUGGCAGGAGUCCUACACAGGCUGCAGGUGGCUGCAUCUCUGUACACCCAUGGCUGGAUCUCUGUACACCCAUGGGCUUCCAUGGGCUGCAGGAGCACAGCAGCUUCACCACAGUCUUCACCAUGGGGUGCUGGGGAAUCUCUGCUCUGGUGCCUAGGCCACCUCCUGCCCCCCUUUUUCACUCACUUUGGUGUCUGCAGAGCUCUUUCUCUCACAGUUUUUCUCAUUUCUCUCUCCUGGCAGCUUUUUCUCCCCUCCUAUACACGUUAUCCCAGAGACACCACUGCCAGCACUGAUGGGCUCAGCCUUGGCCCGUGGCAGGUCUGUUUUGGAGCCAGCAGCUUUGACUCUGUUGGACAUGGCAAAAACAUCUGGCAGCUUCUCAGAGGGAGAAACCCUGUAUCCCUGUUACCAAAAGCUUGCCAUCCAAACCCAAAACACUAUCCCUUGGUAGUGGAAAUACAUCUGUAAAGUUGACUCAAUGUUUUGUUGUCUCAGAUGCAUAUAGAAAACUCUGCAGGCUUGCAUGUGGCCUGAGUUAUACAACCUGUUGUUGGCACUAGUGUGUGUGAGUGGCCCCAGGUGGACACUGUGUCCUGAGUCAAACAGUUCUUGCAGAUUCAGUAGAACCACUGCACUCCAAAACUUCUCUUUUCUGGUGAUACAUUUGAGCAACAGCUCCCAGCAAAUGCUUUCACUCUAAUUGUCCUGCUAUUUUCUGAUAAGUACUUCUGCAUCCAUACCUGUAGAUUGCUUGCAGGUCUUAUUCACAACCUCUCAUACAGAAACACACCUUUGUGGCAUGUCAAAGUUAACACACUUCUGAGAACAUACUGUGGAAUAUUUCUACUUAGUGUACAUUAUCAAAAAAUUUCACAGCUUUUUCCAUUUUCCUGGCAUAUUCAGCUUCAGACACUUAAAACCCUUAAAAACCAAGGAUAACCACCAAUUAGAAGCAAGAAGAUGUGCAAUAUUAGGCUGCUUUUAUUUCCUCUUUAACAGCCCUCAGUGCCCAGUGCUCUAUGUAACAAUAUCCACAUGUUAUUCUGGGCAAGGUUUUGGUAAUGAUGAGUCCCAACUAGUUUGUUCUCAGAAGCAGUGAAUUGUAUAAUUUUAAGUCCAACCUAAUCUUACUAUUAUAAAAGACUAGAUACUACCUUCUUUAGUAAAUAUGCAAAGUGUUGGGAAUGUAUUUCAGAUCAGAAAAUAACUGCACUGUGGUAAAAGUGCUGUAUGCUGAAACUUGAACUGAAGCUCUCUAUAUUGGUCACUUUAUGAUCUGAUGAAGAUGGAGAUCGUCAUUUUGAAAGAUGAUGAUCCAUUUUACCUUCUGAAAUUCUACUCAUAGAGCUUGUGUGAUAUAGUUUAAUUCCUGACAGUAGCUUCUUCAUUCUCCAUUCAGUAUUCUCACACUGCACUGUAUCCCUUCACAGAAACUGUCAAACAGCACAGCUGGAGUUAAUAAACUGAGGAAGGAUGCCCAUUACCAGUUACAGACAUCCCUGUUGUUUGAUGCUUUCAGUAUUUCAUUAUCUCUGCAUCAGCACUGGUACUCCUGCAACUGAAAAGCCAUCAAAAUAACACAGCUUGAAAUGAUAAAUGAAAGCAACAGAACAACUGCAGCACAGAGCAUGCACUUCUGUGGGCUUUUCUAGGUGAACAGAUAUUUGUAUCUGUGCUGUGGCAGUCUUUUACUAGCACAGCAAAGGUUUAUCCAGAUGUACUUGCUGGCUUAAAGCCACUGAACUCAUUUAACAUAGACAAUUUUCUAUAACUGCUAGGACACCUAAGAAAUUAUAUUUGAUUGUUCUUCCUGAGAAAUAGACUUUAGAAAUGUACAAAAUUAUUUUUUUUCCUCUAUCACUAAGGAGAGAUAUACAUACAGUGAGAUCCAGGAACAGACCUUAUUGACCACAAAUAAUUUUACUGCAAAAUUGUUGUCAAUUAGUUGGAAUAAGUCAAAUUAAUUGGUACAUUCACUGCUGAACUGAGGUUAGGUGUGUGACUCAAGAAGGUAUUAAAUUCUCAAUGAAGAGUUAACAUAAUGGAUCAGAAUUCUCUGACCCAGUUUAACAAUUAGCUGGAGGUAGUGUCAUGUGAAAUUUAAAUGUACACUCCAGAGCAGGGAGUUCUUUCAUCCUUUUCACAAAAUUUCACAUGAAUUCUUUCAUCCCAAAUAAAUAUGGCUAAAUUCAAAACAGGAAUGUAUAUUUCAUUUUAUUGUUAUAAGCACUAUCUGCUUAGUGCCAACAGCAUAUUUCCAGAAACUAAAAGUGUGUUUCUCUCACUAUUUUUCAGAUUGCAAUGCAUUCAUGUAACUACUGUAUAUAAUUAAACAUGUAAAGCAGAAGACUGAAAUUGGUAAUUAGCCCUCAAGAUUUUGUAGUAGUGUCUGGGAAUUAAGACACACAGUUCCCAUUAUAUUCCAGAAAUAUCAUUCAACUAAAAUUCUUUCACUACUUAGGAAAACAGAGGCCGGCUUCUAAAAUAUUUUUACUCAUGGGAGUGUAAUUUGCACUUUCUGAUUUCAUGUGUUCAAUAUCUUUCCAUUAUACAGCUUUGUGUUUCAAUCUGUAUGUGUUUUUAUAUAAAUUAGAAGUUAUGUAUUGUAAUUUCAGGUGUCCAUCCUUGAAAACAUGAUUCAUCACAGUCCUUUACUAUUCUUUAAAUUAAAAAAAAAAAAAGACAAAAAACUAACAAAAGAAAACCACUUUAAAAUAAAUGCAAAUUGCAACACAGGGAGACAGACAAAUAGCCCAGACCAAAGAGCCCACCAUUAUGAUGUAAAACCUCCUGUUCUCUUAUUAAUGUACGCAAAUAUUUUCUUUUGGUCUAUUUUGUUAAAUAUCAAGUGCAGCUUGAAAUACAGCAGCUAGUGAGAUGGUUUUUCAGUAUUGUGGUUCAACACCAGCCAGCAGCUAAGCCCUAGACAGCUGCUUGCUCACUCCCCUGGUGGGAAGGGGGAGAGAAUCAGAAAAGUAAAAGUGAGGAAAUGCAUGGGCUGAGAUAAAGGCAAUUUAAAAGGAAAAGCAAAAGCCUUGUGCAAGAGCAAAGUAAAACAAUUAAUUUAUUCACCCCUUCCCAUGGGCAGGGAGAUGUUCAGCCAUAUCUGGUAAAGCAGGGCUCCAUCAUGCCAAACAGAAGACAAACACCAUCACUCCAAACAUCCCCAUUUCCUCCAUCUCCCCAAGCUGUGUGUGCUGAGCAUGAUGCCACAGGGUAUGGAAUGUCCCCUGGGUCACCUGGGGUCAGCUGUGCUGGCUGUGUCCCCUCCCAGCUCACUGUGCACCCCCAGCCUCCUCACUGGUGGGUGCGGUGAGAACAGAAGGCCCUGAUUGUGUCAGUGCUGCUCAGCACCUGUUAAAAUAUCCCUUUGUUAUCAAAACAAAAAAUCCAAAACAUAGCCCCAUAACAUCUAACAUGAAGGAAAUGAACUGUGCAUCAGUCAAAUUCUGCUCAUCUAGUUUUAGAUGCCCAUUAGUACAAUGAUAGGGAAUUUCAGAAAUUCUUAGAGCUUCAUGAAGAUUCGGCUUACUUUGACAUUUUUUGAGCCAUACAUUUCCACAAGUGUCAUACAUUUCCAUUGCAGAGAAUGAAAUUAUAAUUUAAAAGUAUGAGGGGAAGAAAAGAAUAUUUCUUCUCACAAUUUUACAUUUGGGCACUUGCAGUAUAUGCAUUCAGGGUCUAACUAAAAAAACACCUAUAAUUUUUAAUUUUUUUUUCUUUCCCUAACAGAUCCUUUAGCCAUAUGUAUAUAAUAUACCUGGCAUAUGAAAACUCAAUAAGUUGCUAAGCCUAAGUAUACAGACCUAGUCAUGUUUCUACUUUAACUUAGCUGCUUUUUAAAAUUUUAUUUCAUUUUAAAUACUGGAAAAGAAAUUACUAUUGUUUGGUUUGAUACUCAAAUACCGUUCUGAAUUUGGGAAAACUUGGGAAAACCACUUGGGAUUAAUGCAAGUAAUCAACUCUUGUCUUCCUGAUCAAAUACAUGUGAACAAAUUAGCUGUAGAGUUCCAGACACUUUUAUUCAUAUUUUAUUUGUCUGCACAGAUGUCUUGUUUUU